GUGUUCACUUGGGCAGCACAAAUACUAAAAUUGGGAUGAUGUAGAGAUUACCGUGGCCCCUGGGCAAAGAUGGUGCAGAAGUUAAUAAAGCGUUCCAGUUUUUU
ensembl:snRNA U6 U6 spliceosomal RNA